UACGGGGGGAGCAAGCGUUGUUCGGAUUCAUUGGGCGUAAAGGGUGCGUAGGUGGCGCUGUAAGUGGGGUGUGAAAUCCCGGGGCUUAACUCCGGAACUGCAUUCCAUACUGCGGUGCUUGAGGACUGGAGAGGAGACUGGAAUUUACGGUGUAGCAGUGAAAUGCGUAGAGAUCGUAAGGAAGACCAGUGGCGAAGGCGGGUCUCUGGACAGUUCCUGACACUGAGGCACGAAGGCCAGGGGAGCAAACAGG
rnacentral:rRNA from 1 species